UCUCCGGCACCCCGCUUCCCUCUCCCCGCCCCGAACCCUUUCUCCCUCUGCUCCUUCCUCCCUCCUUCCAGCCUCCUCUGAGCCUCUGCCCUGCUCUGGCAGCUCCCACGCGGUUGCUAUGGAGGCGCUCGAGGCUUCUCUCCGGCUGGCUGGAGGUGCCCCGGGGCCCCCGGGACCGACCGGAGUCUUUGCCCAACCCUCGGGCGCCUCGCCCCAUUGGGUACUAGGAACAAAGCACGCCCUCAGCCCCGGGGACGCGCCCUCAGACCUUCAGGCGCCCCAGGCCCGAGGCUUAAGACCACCAAGAAACCGCUUGCCCUCAGCCUCUCGGUGGGCAGGACCCCUGGGGCCGAGGUGACAGCUGCGCUCUACCGCGCUACCUUCCCGGCCCCCCGAAGAUCACUCCGGAUCGCCCCAUCCCAGAGGCUGGAGGACAGAAUGACGCUGAUGGAGGCUGUGUUCACCUCACCAGAAGCCUGUGUGUUUCCGUGGCACUAGCAGGACAGCAAGAGAGGCGCUGGAAUCGUAGAGCUUCUUACUUCUUCAGGAUAUUUAGCCAGGAGCCGUCACUCUGUUACUUCUGCCACAUUCAGUUGGCCAAAGAAAGUCACAUGCCUGGGUCCAGAGCUCUGCUCACUGCAGAAAACCUGACGGGGAAUGGCUAAGGGCAGAGCAAAGGAUUGGAGCCGUUAAAGCAAUAAACUA